AGUGACGAUAGCCUAGAAGAUACACCUGUACCCAUGCCGAACACAGAAGUUAAGCCCUAGAACGCCGGAAGUAGUUGGGGGUUGCCCCCUGUGAGAUAGGGAAGUCGCUUAGCU
rnacentral:rRNA from 1 species